rnacentral:rRNA from 1 species
GGGGGGGGGGGGGGGGGGGGGGGGGGGGGGGGGGGGGGGCGGGCGGGCGGGGAGCUUGCUCCUGUGACGUUAGCGGCGGCCGGUUGAGUCACACGUGGAUACCUUAGCUGUAAGACGGGGAUGACGGCGGGAAGCCGGAGCUCGUCCCGGAUAAUAUCUUUACCCGCAUGGUUCCAUCGUGAACGACUGUUUUGCUGUCUCUUAUCGAUGGAUCCUGACCGACUUAGCUACUUGGUAAGGUAACCGCUUACCAAGGCAACGCUGCGUAGCCGACCGGAGAGGGUGAUCGGCCACACUGGAACUGAGACACGGUCCAGACGCCUACGGGAGGCAGCAGUAGGGAAUCUUCCGCAAUGGGCGAAAGCCGGACGGAGCAACGCCGCGUGAGUGAUGAAGGUCUUCGGAUCGUAAAACUCUGUUAUUAGGGAAGAACAAAUGUGUAAGUAACUAUGCACGUCUUGACGGUACCUAAUCAGAAAGCCACGGCUAACUACGUG